CCAUUUCCAAAGACUGUUGUGUUUAUAUGACUUUAACUGAAUCUUUGAGAAUAAAAGAGGGAAUAGAGAAUAGCUAAGACCUGCCAACAGCCUAAAAUUCAAUAUAAGAUAUCACUGUUUUUACAGAUCUUUAGCCUUCCCUCUCAGACCCUCAGGGCUCUGUCCAUCUUCCCCGCUUUAUUGAGCAGCUUCACCACUUCACCGUGGCUGAUGAACACGAGGGCCACGUCCGGAGGUGUGUUCUCGAAGCCCCUGGCUGCUCUCGCGAUAGCUCGAAACCCCGGUGGUCAGCGGUUUCAGGGGCUCGCUGCAGUUCGGCUCUGGGUUACCUGUUGGUCGUGCAGCGAGCUACUGACCAAGAAGCGGAUGGUCUGGUGCAAUGCGGCGGCUAGAAGCCCUGGAUGCUGUGCUUUCUUAUGCUCAGAUGAAUUGUCAGCAUUCAGAUAAUGGCUUCAGUUUUGGCAGCAUGCAGGGUCAGCAUUCAGGUGGGAUCAGAUGGAAGGGCAUUUCACAUCCUCCUGUUUUAUCUGUCACUGUCUGUGGCAAAGAACUUCUCCAGGUGAGUUGGAUGUUAACAGGCUCACAAUUUACUAUUUCCUUCAGUUUAAAAGUAAAUAGAGGAUUACAUAUUGUCAGGUCAAAGUAAUGAGAUUACAUUCUGUGUGUGUGAGAGAGAGAGAGAGAGAGAGAGGGAAGAGGGGAACUUACUGUUUUCUCUAAUUUUGGCUUCACGGGAC
rnacentral:lncRNA from 1 species